GGAUGACGUCAAGUCCUCAUGGCCUUUAUGCCCAGGGAUGCAAACGUGCUACAAUGGUACGGACAAAGCGAUGCGAUACCGCGAGGUGGAGCAAAUCGCAAAAACCGUGCCCCAGUUCGGAUAGCAGGCUGAAAUUCGCCUGCUUGAAGCCGGAAUCGCUAGUAAUCGCGUAUCAGCUACGACGCGGUGAAUACGUUCCUGAGCCUUGUACACACCGCCCGUCACGUCAUGGAAGCUGCUAGUGCCCGAAGUCACCUCGUUUCAGGGGUGCCUACGGCAAGAGUGGUGACUGGGACGAAGUCGUAACAAGGUAGCCGUA
rnacentral:rRNA from 1 species